ensembl:snoRNA small nucleolar RNA SNORA40
AGCAUGCAUGUGUGGUUUGUUCAACUAGUGCACAAAAGCAGAGACGAGGCCUGCAAGGGCCUGUCUUCGUUUACAACCAGAGCUCAUAGUUCAGAAUGAGUUUUGAUACACACAAGAAGGACUACA